UAGGCGGUAACCGAAAAGCCCGAAAAGAGUAGGUA
ncrna:unclassified sequences DTF805b RNA